rnacentral:rRNA from 1 species
UACGAACCGGACAAACGUUAUUCGGAAUCACUGGGCUUACAGGGUGCGUAGGCGGUCUGGAGGGUGGGGUGUGAAAUCCCUCGGCUCAACCGAGGAAUUGCGCUCCAAACCGGCAGACUUGAGGGAGACAGAGGUGUGCGGAACUGAUGGUGGAGCGGUGAAAUGCGUUGAUAUCAUCAGGAACACCAGUGGCGAAAGCGGCACACUGGGUCUCUUCUGACGCUGAGGCACGAAAGCCAGGGGAGCGAACGGG